GGCUGCCUACGGGGCGCAGCAGUGGGGAAUAUUGCACAAUGGGGGAAACCCUGAUGCAGCAACGCCGCGUGAGUGAUGACGGCCUUCGGGUUGUAAAGCUCUGUCUUCAGGGACGAUAAUGACGGUACCUGAGGAGGAAGCCACGGCUAACUACGUGCCAGCAGCCGCGGGAAUACGUAGGUGGCGAGCGUUGUCCGGAUUUACUGGGCGUAAAGGGCGCGUAGGCGGACUUUUAAGUGAGAUGUGAAAUACUCGGGCUCAACUUGAGUGCUG
rnacentral:rRNA from 1 species